rnacentral:hammerhead_ribozyme from 1 species
CACUGGCUGAAGAGUCUCAAAUAGGACGAAAUGUGCAUCCUGGUG